AACGAACGCUGGCGGCAUGCCUAACACAUGCAAGUCGAACGAGACCUUCGGGUCUAGUGGCGCACGGGUUCGUAACGCGUGGGAACCUGCCCUUAGGUUCGGCAUAACUCCCCGAAAGGGGUGCUAAUACCGGACAAUGUCUUCGGCCCAAAAAUUUAUCGCCUUUGGAUGGGCCCGCGUUGGAUUAGCUAGUUGGUAGGGUAAAAGCCUACCAAGGCGACGAUCCAUAACUGGGCUGAGAGGAUGAUCAGCCACACUGGGACUGAGACACGGCCCAGACUCCUACGGGAGGCAGCAGUGGGGAAUAGUGGACAAUGGGCGGAAUCCUGAUCCAGCAAUGCCGCGUGAGUGAUGAAGGCCUUAGGGUUGUAAAGCUCUUUUACCCGGGAUGAUAAUGACAGUACCGGGAGAAUAAGCUCCGGCUAACUCCGUG
rnacentral:rRNA from 1 species